rnacentral:rRNA from 1 species
UACGUAGGGUGCGAGCGUUAAUCGGAAUUACUGGGCGUAAAGCGCACGUAGGCGGUUACUUAAGUCGGAUGUGAAAGCCCUGGGCUCAACCGUGGAAGUGCACCCGAAACUGCAAGGCUAGAGUAUCGGAGAGGAAGGUGGAAUGCUUGGUGUAGAGGUGAAAUUCGUAGAUAUCAAGCGGAGCACCGGUGGCGAAGGCGGCCUUCUGGACGAUUACUGACGCUGAGACGCGAAAGCGUGGGUAGCAAACAGG